UACGGUCACACCACUUUGAAACAGCGGUUCCCGUACGAUCACCGAAGUUAAGCAACGUCGAGCCUGGUCAGUACCUAGACGGGUGACCGCUUGGGAAUAAUACCGGAUGCUGUA